GAUGAACGCUGGCGGCGUGCCUAAUACAUGCAAGUCGAGCGAACAGACGAGGAGCUUGCUCCUCUGACGUUAGCGGCGGACGGGUGAGUAACACGUGGAUAACCUACCUAUAAGACUGGGAUAACUUCGGGAAACCGGAGCUAAUACCGGAUAACAUGUUGAACCGCAUGGUUCCACAGUGAAAGACGGUCUUGCUGUCACUUAUAGAUGGAUCCGCGCCGCAUUAGCUAGUUGGUAAGGUAACGGCUUACCAAGGCAACGAUGCGUAGCCGACCUGAGAGGGUGAUCGGCCAGACUGGAACUGAGACACGGUCCAGACUCCGACGGGAGGCAGCAGUAGGGAAUCUUCCGCAAUGGGCGAAAGCCUGACGGAGCAACGCCGCGUGAGUGAAGAAGGUCUUCGGAUCGGAAAACUCUGUUAUUAUGGAAGAACAAAUGUGUAAGUAACUAUGCACGUCUUGACGGUACCUAAUCAGAAAGCCACGGCUAACUACGUG
rnacentral:rRNA from 1 species